AAUUCGAUUAGUUUGAUCAUGGCUCAGAUUGAACGCUGGCGGCAUGCCUAACACAUGCAAGUCGAACGGCAGCACAGCUUAAGCUUGCUUAAGUGGGUGGCGAGUGGCGGACGGGUGAGUAAUGCAUCGGGACCUACCUGAACGUGGGGGAUAACGUAGGGAAACUUACGCUAAUACCGCAUACGUCCUACGGGAGAAAGCGGGGGACCUUCGGGCCUCGCGCGGUCAGACGGACCGAUGUUCGAUUAGCUAGUUGGUAAGGUAAUGGCUUACCAAGGCGACGAUCGAUAGCUGGUCUGAGAGGAUGAUCAGCCACACUGGAACUGAGACACGGUCCAGACUCCUACGGGAGGCAGCAGUGGGGAAUAUUGGACAAUGGGCGCAAGCCUGAUCCAGCAAUGCCGCGUGUGUGAAGAAGGCCUUCGGGUUGUAAAGCACUUUUAUCGGGAGCGAAAUACCAUUGGUUAAUAACCGGUGGGGCUGACGGUACCCGAGGAAUAAGCACCGGCUAACUUCGUGCCAGCAGCCGCGGUAAUACGAAGGGUGCAAGCGUUAAUCGGAAUUACUGGGCGUAAAGGGUGCGUAGGCGGUUAGUUAAGUCUGUUGUGAAAUCCCCGGGCUCAACCUGGGAAUGGCAAUGGAUACUGGCUAGCUAGAGUGUGUCAGAGGAUGGUGGAAUUUCCGGUGUAGCGGUGAAAUGCGUAGAGAUCGGAAGGAACAUCAGUGGCGAAGGCGGCCAUCUGGGACAACGCUGACGCUGAAGCACGAAAGCGUGGGGAGCAAA
rnacentral:rRNA from 1 species